UACAGAGGUCUCAAGCGUUGUUCGGAUUCAUUGGGCGUAAAGGGUGCGUAGGUGGUCUGCUAAGUCAGACGUGAAAUCCCUCAGCUUAACUGGGGAACUGCGUCUGAUACUGGCGGACUUGAGGACAGGAGAGGAACGCGGAAUUCCAGGUGUAGAGGUGAAAUUCGUAGAUAUUCGCAAGAACACCAGUGGCGAAGGCGGCUCACUGGCCCGAUACCGACGCUGAGGCACGAAAGCGUGGGGAGCAAACAGG
rnacentral:rRNA from 1 species